rnacentral:misc_RNA from 1 species
GAUGAAGAACGCAGCAAAAUGCGAUAAGUAAUGUGAAUUGCAGAAUUCAGUGAAUCAUCGAAUCUUUGAACGCACAUUGCGCCCGCCAGUAUUCUGGCGGGCAUGCCUGUUCGAGCGUCAUUUCAACCCUCAAGCACAGCUUGGUGUUGGGACUCGCGUUAAUUCGCGUUCCCCAAAUUGAUUGGCGGUCACGUCGAGCUUCCAUAGCGUAGUAGUAAAACCCUCGUUACUGGUAAUCGUCGCGGCCACGCCGUUAAACCCCAACUUCUGAAUGUUGACCUCGGAUCAUGUAGGAAUACCCGCUGAACUUAAGCAUAUCAAUAAGCGGAGG